AAAUGUGAAUGUUAUUGUGUAGUCGCCAGACCCCGGUCAACACCAAAGGUGCGAAUUACCAAAUAUAAGUUGCAUCUAUACGUAAUGACUGAACGAGUCAACGUCGAGGUGAUGUAUUUCUUCCCAAUUAUCUUAUACCUAACCUGUUACCUUGAUCAUUCGGUAUAGGUGGUGGACACCACUUAGGUUGCCCUUGUUUCCACCCGGACACGGUUUUCCUAAGGCCUAUUAAUACGUCACUUCCGCUGUCGUGUAAUAAUUAUUUUAUUUGUUCACACCUGUAUUAAUGGAACUUAUGU